GAACACCCCUUUUUGAAAACUAAAAAAGAUAAUAAAAAAAAUUACCCAUCACCUCUCUUAUUUUCCUUAAAGAAAAACAGAAAGAAAGCUCCCAAAUUUUCUCUUAGGCCUACGCCACCCUCAUCGGAGAUCGGCGAGCCGAGGUCGCUAGUUCGUCGGUGUGUCAGGUGUGGGUGGUGCACGUGAUGGCCAAGGGCAGAGGUAGCAUGGGGCGACUGAAUCUUGGGGACAGAGGGAGGAGCUGCUAGUUUUUUUCUUUUUUUGUUUGCUGAAAAUUAGUUAAGGUUGUGGGCUGAUUGGGCUUUUAGGGUUUUAAUUUUUUGGGGGGCUGUAAUUGGGUUGGAUAGGUUUGGAUUUUGGGUCAUGGACUAUUAAUUAUUUUUAUCUUGGUUAAUGGUUUAUGGGCCCCGGGCAAAAUUUGGGUUCUACAA